UGGGAUCCCUUCGGGGUGAACUUGGUGCUGACGAGUAGCGAACGGGUGAGUAACGCGUGGGAAUCUGCCCUAUAGUGGGGGAUAAGCCAGGGAAACUUGGUCUAAUACCGCAUAAUCUCUACGGAGGAAAGCGGGGGAUCUUCGGACCUCGCACUAUUGGAUGAGCCCACGUUAGAUUAGCUUGUUGGUGGGGUAAAGGCCUACCAAGGCGACGAUCUAUAGCUGGUCUGAGAGGAUGAUCAGCCACACUGGGACUGAGACACGGCCCAGACUCC
rnacentral:rRNA from 2 species